GAUGAACGCUGGCGGCGUGCCUAAUACAUGCAAGUCGAGCGAACAGACGAGGAGCUUGCUCCUCUGACGUUAGCGGCGGACGGGUGAGUAACACGUGGAUAACCUACCUAUAAGACUGGGAUAACUUCGGGAAACCGGAGCUAAUACCGGAUAAUAUAUUGAACCGCAUGGUUCAAUAGUGAAAGACGGUUUUGCUGUCACUUAUAGAUGGAUCCGCGCCGCAUUAGCUAGUUGUUAAGGUAACGGCUUACUAAGGCAACGCUGCGUAGCCGACCUGAGAGGGUGAUCGGCCACCCUGGAAGUGGGACACGGUCCAUGCGCCUACGGGAGGGAGCAGAAGGGAAUCGUCCGCAGUGGUCGAAAGCAUGACGGAGCAACGCCGCGUGAGUGAUGACGGUCUUCGGAUCGUAAAACUCUGUUAUUAGGUAUGAACAAAUGUGUAAGUAACUAUGCACGUAUUGACGGUACCUAAUCAGAAAGCCACGGCUAACUACGUG
rnacentral:rRNA from 1 species